UCUCUGCGUGGCUGAGCACAUUAUCGUACAGUCCCAGCCACUACAGUAAUGUCUGGUGUGACUUCAAAGACUCUCCUCUGAAACUAGGACAGAGCUCUGUGUUGCUGCUCCAACCCUUUCCAUCUGCCUUUUUGUUCACCAUCACAACUGUGGCCUGUCCUCAUAUGUGAAAUAACAAAUUGGAUUUUGUCUUACUUGCUGUAAAGCCUUGGAGAAAUGACUCAGUUCAUGCAAACCACCAACUCUCCCACUUACCCUCUUGUGAAGGAAAAUUUAUUUUAGUUGAAUUGGGUGAUUACAGUCAAGGAGGAGAAACAUUUGCCUUUUCAAGCAUAGGAGAAGUCAAAGAACCCUCAGAGAUGGUUAGUUAUUCAGCAUGUUCACGUGGCAAGUCAGUCACCAUGGACAUCGCUGGAAUCAGCUGGGAUUUAGGAGGAAGAGGGGAAUUGUGAGAGUAUAGAUGUGGGGAAAACAUACAUAAAUUUUAUUUUUAAAUAAAAAAAC